CUUAUCAAGAGUGGCUGAGGGAACAGGCCCGUUGAAGCCCGGCAACCUGACGAAAGUAAAGGUGCUAAAUCCUGCGGAAAUUUCCGGAAGAUGAGG
rnacentral:ncRNA from 1 species